AGGGAGGGGCGGCCAGGGGAGGGGACCAGGUGAGGGGCGGCUAGGGGAGGGGGCGGCCUGGUGAGGGAGGGCCAGGUGAGGGGCCCGGGGAAGGGCGACCAGGUGAGGGGGUCAGGGGAGGGGCGACCAGAUGAGGGGCGAUUAGGUGAGGGGCGGCCAGGUGAGGGGCGGCCAGGUGAGGAGCGACCAGGGGAGGGGGCCAGGUGAGGGGCGGCCGAGGAGGGGGUCAGGUGAGGAGCAGCCAGGGGAGGGGGGGCCAGGUGAGGUGCGACCAGGUGAGGGGCGGCCUCGCCCACGGCCCGCCGCCCUCCGCCCACCCGCAGGGGCCCGACCCGGCCCGGCAGCCCCCAUCCCCGCCUGCAGAGCCGAGGCCCAGCCCGGGGACCGCCCCGUCAUUCCUCCUCGGAGGGACGCAC
rnacentral:lncRNA from 1 species